AAAACUCAGCUUUGCCCCUGCCCGGAGUUUCCCUUCCCGGGGCCCGCUGGGGAAGCAUCCGCGGCUGGUGGUGGCUGUGGUUUGGUGCCGAGGACUCACACGUAAAAGGAGCUCAUUCGGAGGCAGGGGCACGCGCUUGUCCCCAGAACUCAAACCCCAGAGUCCCUCCGGCAGAUGAGAGUGGAGUCUGUAAAUCACCCUCCAUGCAAUGGUUCAUCAUAAAGGAUAUGGAGCAAAAUUAGAGGAGGCACGAGAAGGAAAGCCGGUGAUGAACAAGGAUUUGCCUCAACUACAGAGACAGCAUGGAACACGCCCUCCUAGGCUGCCCACAUCCUCAUCUGCAUGGGGGCACAGAAGCCUGGCCAUUCAUCCCAUGGGAGACUCAGGACAUGCUCCCAGCAACCUGAUGGGCUGCCCAAGGCUUGGCUGAUCCUGCAUCCCUGCAUCACAUCUCAGCUUCUCCCUCUGCCCAAAUCUACUUCCUCCCCAUUCCUUUCACAGUCAUUGAUUCCCUGAUAAACACCUUGCACCCCAUAUUCCAUCUCAGAGUCUUCUUGCAGAGAACCCAACCUGUGGCAGAGCUGGUCUCAGGACUCGGAGCGAGGGAGCAGGGAAAGAGGACAGGAAAGCAGGGAGAGUCAAUUUAAGGGUACGUUGUCUGAGACAAAAAUUCUGCUAGGACCUCUGAGAUGGGUACAAGAUGCCUGGAGCCAUUCACUGGGCAGUAUCUGUCCAUCAGCUCCCAGGCCCCACAGAACCGGAGCUGCCUGUGAGGGCUUUCACUGCCCUGCAUUUCUGGGCUUCACAUAUGCACUGGCUGAGAGGGCUCCCUGUCUUCAAGGACGAUCCUGAGCAGAAAGUGGGUGCACUUGAGGUGGCAUGCUGUUGCGAGAGUCUGAGCUUUAUGAGAAGCAGACCCAGGGGGCAUGGUGUGGGGCAUCCCAAAGGACGUGCCAUACAUUAGGUGCCUUGGUCUUGGGGAGGAGCCCUCGGGAGUUCUGAGGGUAGGAGAAGAGGUAGGUGGGGUUAAUCCUUUCCCAUUCCCUCCCUGCCUCAGCACCAUGGCUCAGGCAGUAGUGCUGCCAGCUCUUCCUGGGAUCAGAGUCAUGGCCCUGCUCCCCUUUUCCCUUCAGGCUGAGGAACAUAAGGGCUUCCCAUGGUUGCUGGUGUCUGAGUGCCUCAACCUCCCUUGCUGGUUCCUUUCCCCUGCCCACACCUUUGUCAAUAGUUCCCCCCACUGAAGUCUCUUUGGUUGAGCAGUUGGUGGGGAUGCUGACUGACAAAGUGGUCUAGGCCACUGCUCACUGCUUAAAGCCUUGCUUCAGAGAGACCUUGCAGGGCCCUGCAGCUCCCCCUUCUCCAACCCCUCCAACCCUUCUCCCUCCCAGCUGGUCUGGGUUCCCCACGGCAUCUACUUGCUUUUGAAUCUAUUUCUUAUAGAUACAUGUGUGUCCUCCUCUCUCACAGCCUUACCUUUUCAUAUGGAGGAAGAAAAACCCCAUUUCUAUAAAGCUAUUAAAUGUUUUCCUUUCACAAACACCAGUUUUGUACA
rnacentral:lncRNA from 1 species